UGUUCACAUUAUUGUCAACUGGACUAAAACUGAGCGUUUCACAACCCAAAUGUUUAACGUCCUUCAGGUCCAGUGUGUCUGUCACUGCUCUACUCUCCACCGCUCAUAUAUGUCGUUUUGGGAGUUAUUGGCAAUCAACCAAUAAUGUUUGUGUGAAAGCUGCUCAGCCGGUUUCUUUCCAUUCCAACAGCUGCUUCUCUGGAAACAGUUUAAAGUGAAACUAAAGUUUUCUCCUCACAGUGUCAGCAGAUUAUCAGGAGGAGGAAAGUGACAACUGGCUGUGAACUGAAUGUGUUUUUCCAGUGUUCGUUUAGUGAGAAGCAGAUUAAUGAGGACUUUGUGGUUGUUGUAGUUUUUACAGAAGAUGAAGAUGUUUGUGGUGUUUGUGAUCCUCGUGCACGUUUCCCAGCAUGCCUCAGCUGUGGAGCUGUAUGAGGGGGAGGAGUUUGUCCUGCUGCCCUGUGAGUUUCACACUUUUGACAUGGACGACCCCACAGUGGUGUGGAGCCGCUACGAUCUCAAUCCUCCAACCGUCCACCAGCGUCAGCAGGAAGGUGAUGAACUUAAAGACCAAAACCAGCUUUACAGCGGCCGAACAUCCAUGAUGGCUGACGCUCUGGAAACUGGAGACCUCAGCCUCAAGCUGACAAAACUCCACCUCUCUGACAGCGGCACCUACACCUGCACUGUCAGAGCAUUAGGAGGACAACGGAGAGUGAGAGAAGUACAGCUGCAGGUCAAAGAACGAUUUCCAUCCUGGGCCAAAGCUCUCCUGGUUCUCCUGGUUCUCGGUCUUAUUGUUGGGGGUCUUUUGGUGCAUUUUCGGCACUAUUUCAUGUCAGUCUACCAGGUGGAGGUGGGUUCAGAGGAGGAGUCUGUCCUGCUGCCCUGCAAAACCACAGUUCACCUGCCUGAGGACGUCACAGUGGAGUGGACGGACAGUGACAACAGGAAGGUCCAUGUGUAUCAGAACGGCUCUGAUCAGCCUGAAGAACAGAACCAGUAUUACAGAGACCGAACAGAGAUGAAGAGAAACCUGCUGGAACCUGGAGACCUCAGUCUGACCCUGAAAUACCCCAAAUACAGAGACAGAAACACUUUCACCUGCACCGUCUACAGCAGGGAGAGAAAGAUCCUGAUGGAGAAACAAGUGCUGCUCGAGGUCAAAGUCUACCAGGUGGAGGUGGAUUCAGGGGUGGAGUCUGUCCUGCUGCCCUGCAAAACCACAGUUCACCUGCCUGAGGACGUCACAGUGGAGUGGACAGACAGAUACAACAGGAAGGUCCAUGUGUAUCAGAACAGCUCUGAUCAGCCUGAAGAACAGAACCAGUUUUACAGAGACCGAACAGAGAUGAAGAGAAACCUACUGGAACCUGGAGACCUCAGUCUGACCCUGAAAUACCCCACAUACAGAGACAUUGACAUCUACACCUGCACCGUCUACAACAGGGAGAGAGAGAUCCUGAUGAAGAAACAAGUGCUGCUUGAGGUCAAAGUCUACCAGGUGGAGGUGGGUUCAAGGGUGGAGUCUGUCCUGCUGCCCUGCAAAACCACAGUUCACCUGCCUGAGGACGUCAGAGUGGAGUGGACAGACAGUUACAACUGGAAGGUCCAUGUGUAUCAGAACGGCUCUGAUCAGCCUGAAGAACAGAACCAGUAUUACAGAGACCGAACAGAGAUGAAGAGAAACCUGCUGGAACCUGGAGACCUCAGUCUGACCCUGAAAUACCCCACAGACAGAGACACCUUCACCUGCACCGUCUACAACAGGGAGAGAAAGAUCCUGAUGGAGAAACGAGUGGAGCUUGAGUUCAAAGAGCAUAAGGUGGAGGUGGAGGAGGGGGGCGAAGUCUGUCCAACUGCCCUUCAAGACCACAGCUGACCUGCCUGAGGACGCUGAAGUGGAGUGGAGACGCAUUGAACCUGAACCCACAAUAACAGUCCAUGUGUAUCAGAACAGUUCUGACCAGCCUGGACAACAGAACCAGGAUUACAGAGACCGAACUGAGAUGAACGAAGACCUGCUGAAAACUGGAGACCUCAGUCUGACCCUGAAAUGCCCCAAAGAGAGAGACACAGGAAGAUACGGCUGCAGAAUCUACAACAAGGAGGGAAACAUCAGAUACUUACUGAGAGGGAAAACAGUGGAGCUCACAGUCAGAGAGAGAACCAGGAACAGAAGCAGCUCCAUUGAUCCAACUCCUCUGAUGGCUGAUCAAUCUGUUUGAUUGGUCUGUUGAUCAAUCUUUGAUUAUUGAUCUUGUUGAAGGGGCUCAAAGGAAGAGAAUGUCAACGUUCAGCUUUCAGUGUUUCCUCUCUUCAUCGUCUGAAUGAACCUGCAGUCCAUACUGUGAUUGAUUGAUUGACUGAUUGAUUGAUUGACUGAUUGAUUGAUUGAUUGAUUGAUUGAUUGAUUGAUUGGUCUCAUGUAGCUCUAUAAUGUUUCUCUGAUGUUUGUGUAUUCAGCUUCUAUACAUAUAUAUCUGGCUGUGUCUCAGGAGGUAGAGCGGGUCGUCCACUGAUCAGAAGGUUGCUGGUUCGAUCCCCGGCUCCUCCCGCUGCAUGUCGAAGUGUCCUUGAGCAAAAUACUGAACCCCAAACUGCUCCUGAUGCUGAAUCACUGUAUGAAUGAGUGAAUGAGUGAAUGAGUCAGCUGAACUGUUCUCAUGUGUUUGAAUCCAUAAAGUGUUGUGAGCAGAUGAGUUAUGGAUUCGAUCAUUUCACACUCUGUUUAGAGAAUGAUGAAUAUUGAGGAGAACAACUGUAAAUAAAGCUCAAAUGUACAGAAAUCAUUUCUCCACUCUGACAGCAUCAUGAAAAUGGAUCUAAAGCUGUGAGAAUGAUGGAUUCAGGAGGCAUCAAAACUUUGAUUACUACUCUCUUCUGAAAUAACAAAAGUGCUCAGUGUGACGGCCUUAUUGUGUUCCUCUUGCUUGGUUGUUUACUCUUUGUUUCAGGUAGUAAGGGGUGGAGCUGAGAUUACUCUCUGCUGCAGCUCACCUGAGCAGACUCUCUCACUCUCUUCCUCUGGCUGCUGACUGAACUGUUGGGUUUUGUUUGUGUUCUGGGUUUUACAUUCAUACAUAUACACCUCACCCUUCACUCACAUAUUAAACUGUACUGAUUAUUUUGGUAUUUACUUCAUUAAAUUGUCAGAACAAUUCA